GUCAUGAGUAAUUAGUUGAAUAGUGAGACCGCCGCCGCACACCGCAAUUAGUUUGGGUCUUGUUGUUAACGGUAUUAUCUUUGCCAACAUUGGUUAUCAGGCGCCGCCAAUUCGAACGGCAAAUAUCGAGAACCGUCCGAGAGAAGCAAGUCAAACUCAGAGAUUUGCGAGAUGAUGACAUGAGUAACGAUUUGCAAAAAUCUGAUUUUAUCCGCUUCAAAAUGCAUAUGUAUGUAUGUAUGUAAAUAAAGAUGUACAUAUGCUUAUGAAUCAGACCCAAUCCCAACCAAUCAACCAACCAACAGCAGAAACAGAUGCAGCUAUUACAGACUUUGGACACACAAAUGAACCCCCAUUUAACUGAACAAUCGGGAAAUUGGAAAUUGUGAAAUGUCGAAAUCAUUUUCUGCGGUUUAAUGCCCGAUAAGAUUUAAACGAUAACUCAGUUCGCCAAUAAGGGGAACUACAUUUUCAAAUCGACCUUAGAGAUGGCACCGCGCACUACAACAAUCAACUUAAGGAGUUCCUUGGAUGAAUUUCUAACAUUAUUCCCAGGAGAAGUUGCUGUCUUCCAAAAGGGAAACUUUUCAUCCGCUUGUUGCAUUUAUUGACCGACUUUUCCUUAAUGCAAUGUAAUUUGAUUUAUGUUUUGCAAUAUAAUAUAAAAUGCUUUUUGAAUGUAA